CGGCGGACGGGUGAGUAACACGUGGGUAACCUGCCUGUAAGACUGGGAUAACUCCGGGAAACCGGGGCUAAUACCGGAUGGUUGUUUGAACCGCAUGGUUCAAACAUAAAAGGUGGCUUCGGCUACCACUUACAGAUGGACCCGCGGCGCAUUAGCUAGUUGGUGAGGUAACGGCUCACCAAGGCAACGAUGCGUAGCCGACCUGAGAGGGUGAUCGGCCACACUGGACUGAGCACACGGCCCAGACUCCUACGGGAGGCAGCAGUAGGGAAUCUUCCGCAAUGGACGAAAGUCUGACGGAGCAACGCCGCGUGAGUGAUGAAGGUUUUCGGAUCGUAAAGCUCUG
rnacentral:rRNA from 1 species